AGAGUUUGAUCAUGGCUCAGGAUGAACGCUAGCGGGAGGCUUAACACAUGCAAGUCGAGGGGUAAAUGGCAGCAAUGCUAUGAGACCGGCGGACGGGUGCGUAACGCGUAUGCAACAUACCUUGUGCAGGGGGAUAGCCCGUGGAAACGCGGAUUAAUAUUCCAUAGUCCAGCUAUAUCGCAUGGUAUAGUUGGUAAAGAUUUAUCGGCACAAGUUUGGCAUGCGUCUGAUUAGCUUGUUGGUAGGGUAACGGCCUACCAAGGCUACGAUCAGUAGGGGUUCUGAGAGGAUUAACCCCCACACUGGUACUGAGACACGGACCAGACUCCUACGGGAGGCAGCAGUGAGGAAUAUUGGUCAAUGGGCGGAAGCCUGAACCAGCCAUCCCGCGUGAAGGAAGACAGCCUUACGGGUUGUAAACUUCUUUUCUGUCAGAAGAAUAAGCCUGUCGAGACGAGUGAUGCCGGUAUGACAGGAAUAAGCAUCGGCUAACUCCGUGCCAGCAGCCGCGGUAAUACGGAGGAUGCAAGCGUUAUCCGGAUUUAUUGGGUUUAAAGGGUGCGCAGGUUGUUUGAUAAGUCAGUGGUGAAAGUCUGUCGCUUAACGGUAGGAUUGCCAUUGAUACUGUUGGACUUGAAUAUGGAUGAGGUAGGCGGAAUGUGUAGUGUAGCGGUGAAAUGCAUAGAUAUUACACAGAACACCGAUUGCGAAGGCAGCUUACUAAUCCAUCAUUGACGCUGAGGCACGAAAGCGUGGGGAUCAAACAGGAUUAGAUACCCUGGUAGUCCACGCCGUAAACGAUGAUCACUCGCUGUUUGCGAUAUACAGUAAGCGGCUAAGCGAAAGCGUUAAGUGAUCCACCUGGGGAGUACGAUCGCAAGGUUGAAACUCAAAUGAAUUGACGG
rnacentral:rRNA from 1 species